rnacentral:rRNA from 1 species
CUGCGAAGAAAUUAUCGAAAUUGGAGGUGGGGGGCGCUGACUUUGGAUUGCACACCUGGUGCUCUCGCACAUCCGUCUCACCUUUUGUAAAUCAUGCCGAGAAAACCUUUUGGACGGAUUCCACGUUUUUACACGGACUUAUCUCAGAAUGUCUUUUUUGCGAUCACAUUGACUUGUUUAACUUUCGAUAUGGAUCUCUUGGAUCUCGCAUUGAUGAACAACGCAUCGAAAUGAGAUAGCCUGUGUGAAAUGCCUAAUUCCAUGAAUCCCUUGGUCUUUGCUUGCACCUUGCGCCCUUUGGCUUUGCAAAGGGUACCCGUUUGAGUGUCCUGCAUCCCUCAACCUUCUUGGGUUCUGGGAAGGCUUGGACUUUGGAGCCUUUGCUGGCCUUUGAUGGAACCAGCUCCUCUGAAAGAAAUUAUUGGGGUCUGCUUUGCUGAUCCUUGACGUGAUAAGUGUUUCUACGUCUUGUUUUCUCACUGUCCUGCUUCUAACUGUCUCAAAAAUAAUGGUCAACCACUUGACCCACCUUGACCUCUAUCGGGUGAGACUACUCGCUGAUAUUCAUAUCA